rnacentral:rRNA from 1 species
UCGAGGGGCAGCGAGGGAGUGGCAACACUUCCGUCGGCGACCGGAGUCGGGUGAGUAACGCGUAUGCAACCUGCCCUUCACAGGGGGAUAACCGGGAGAAAUUCCGACUAAUACCGCAUACGUCCUCCGGGGGCAUCCCCGGGGGAUGAAAGAAUUAUCGGUGAAGGAUGGGCAUGCGUGAUAUUAGGUAGUUGGCGGGGCAACGGCCCACCAAGCCCACGAUAUCUAGGGGUUCUGAGAGGAAGGUCCCCCACAUUGGUACUGAGACACGGACCAAACUCCUACGGGAGGCAGCAGUGAGGAAUAUUGGUCAAUGGACGAGAGUCUGAACCAGCCAAGUCGCGUGAAGGAAGACGGAUCUAUGGUUUGUAAACUUCUUUAGUGCGGGAACAAAGCGGCGUCGUGACGCCUGAUGAGUGUACCGCAAGAAUAAGCAUCGGCUAACUCCGUGCCAGCAGCCGCGGUAAUACGGAGGAUGCGAGCGUUAUCCGGAUUUAUUGGGUUUAAAGGGAGCGCAGGCUGCGAGGCAAGUCAGCGGUCAAAUGUCGGGGCUCAACCCCGGCCUGCCGUUGAAACUGUCCUGCUAGAGUUCGAGUGAGGUAUGCGGAAUGCGUUGUGUAGCGGUGAAAUGCAUAGAUAUGACGCAGAACUCCGAUUGCGAAGGCAGCAUACCAACUCGCGACUGACGCUGAGGCUCGAAAGCGUGG